CUCGGCACCUCGAUGUCGGCUCAUCGCAUCCUGGGGCUGGAUAAGGUCCCAAGGGUUGGGCUGUUCGCCCAUUAAAGCGGUACGUGAGCUGGGUUCAGACCGUCGUGAGACAGGUCGGUCUCUAUCCGCUGUGGGCGUAAGGGAUUUGAGGGGAUCUGCCCCUAGUACGAGAGGACCGGGGUGGACAGACCUCUGGUGUGCCAGUUGUCGUGCCAACGGCAUUGCUGGGUAGCCACGUCUGGCAGAGAUAACCGCUGAAUGCAUCUAAGUGGGAAACUCGCCCCAAGACUAGAUCCCUCAUCCCGUUAAGGGAGUAAGGCCGCAGGAAGACCACCUGCUUGAUAGGCGCCAGGUGUAUAGCCAGCAAUGGCUGAGCCAAGGCGUACUAAUGGCCGAGGGCUUACCUG
rnacentral:rRNA from 1 species